rnacentral:rRNA from 1 species
GACGAACGCUGGCGGCGUGCUUAACACAUGCAAGUCGAACGGAAAGGCCCUGCUUUUGUGGGGUGCUCGAGUGGCGAACGGGUGAGUAACACGUGAGUAACCUGCCCUUGACUUUGGGAUAACUUCAGGAAACUGGGGCUAAUACCGGAUAGGAGCUCCUGCUGCAUGGGGGGGGUUGGAAAGUGUCGGCGGUUGGGGAUGGACUCGCGGCUUAUCAGCUUGUUGGUGGGGUAGUGGCGUACCAAGGUUUUGAAGGGUAGGCCGCCUGAGAGGGUGACCGGCCACAUUGGGACUGAGAUACGGACCAGACUCCUACGGGAGGCAGCAGUGGGGAAUAUUGCAGAAUGGGCGGAAGCCUGAUGCAGCAACGCCGCGUGCGGGAUGACGGCCUUCGGGUUGUAAACCGCUUUCGCCUGUGACGAAGAGUGAGUGACGGUAAUGGGUAAAGAAGCACCGGCUAACUACGUG